rnacentral:rRNA from 1 species
CCUACGGGCGGCAGCAGUGAGGAAUAUUGGUCAAUGGCCGGAAGGCUGAACCAGCCAAGCCGCGUGAAGGACGAAGGUUCUAUGGUUUGUAAACUUCUUUUGUCAGGGAAUAAAAUUAUCCUCGUGAGCAUGUUCGCGUGUACCCUAUGAAUAAGCAUCGGCUAACUCCGUGCCAGCAGCCGCGGUAAUACGGAGGAUGCGAGCGUUAUCCGGAUUUAUUGGGUUUAAAGGGUGCGUAGGUGGUCUUUUAAGUCAGCGGUGAAAGUUUGGGGCUCAACCCUGAAAGUGCCGUUGAAACUGGAAGACUUGAGAGGGUGUGAGGUAGGCGGAAUGCGUGGUGUAGCGGUGAAAUGCAUAGAUAUUGCGCAGAACUCCGAUUGCGAAGGCAGCUUACUGAGCCAGAACUGACGCUGAGGCACGAAAGCGUGGGUAUCAAACAGGAUUAGAUACCCUUGUAGUC